rnacentral:rRNA from 1 species
UACGUAGGGUGCAAGCGUUAAUCGGAAUUACUGGGCGUAAAGCGUGCGCAGGCGGCUAUGCAAGACAGAUGUGAAAUCCCCCGGGCUCAACCUGGGAACUGCAUUUGUGACUGCAUAGCUAGAGUACGGUAGAGGGGGAUGGAAUUCCGCGUGUAGCAGUGAAAUGCGUAGAUAUGCGGAGGAACACCGAUGGCGAAGGCAAUCCCCUGGACCUGUACUGAC